ensembl:snRNA U2 U2 spliceosomal RNA
AUCGCUUCUCGGCCUUUUGGCUAAGAUCAAGUGUAGAAGAGCAGUAAUAUUUUUCAAAUGUUUUACUUACAAGGAAAACACAGAGCAUGGACAAUUUAUUCAGAUUACUUUAAAAUUUCCAAAAUAAUCUUAGUAUUGUGACCGUCCCUU